rnacentral:rRNA from 1 species
AGUCAACGCUGGCGGCGUGCCUAACACAUGCAAGUCGAACGCGAAAGCCCCUUCGGGGGUAAGUAGAGUGGCGUCCGGGUGAGUAACACGUGGGUAAUCUGCCUUCGGGUGGGGAAUAACCCAGGGAAACUUGGGCUAAUACCGCAUAAUGCAGCGGCACCUAAUGGUGAUUAGUUGUUAAAGCGGGGGAUCGCAUGACCUCGCGCCUGAAGAGGAGCCUGCGGCAGAUUAGCAGUUGGUGAGGUAAUGGCUCACCAAGGCUUCGAUCUGUAGCUGGUCUGAGAGGACGGCCAGCCACACUGGCACUGACACACGGGCCAGACUCCUACGGGAGGCAGCAGUGGGGAAUUUUGGGCAAUGGGCGAAAGCCUGACCCAGCAACGCCGCGUGA